GACGAACGCGGCGGCGUGCUUAACACAUGCAAGUCGAACGAAGAGCGAUGGAAGCUUGCUUCUAUCAAUCUUAGUGGCGAACGGGUGAGUAACGCGUAAUCAACCUGCCCUUCAGAGGGGGACAACAGUUGGAAACGACUGCUAAUACCGCAUACGAUCUAAUCUCGGCAUCGAGGAUAGAUGAAAGGUGGCCUCUACAUGUAAGCUAUCACUGAAGGAGGGGAUUGCGUCUGAUUAGCUAGUUGGAGGGGUAACGGCCCACCAAGGCGAUGAUCAGUAGCCGGUCUGAGAGGAUGAACGGCCACAUUGGGACUGAGACACGGCCCAGACUCCUACGGGAGGCAGCAGUGGGGAAUCUUCCGCAAUGGACGAAAGUCUGACGGAGCAACGCCGCGUGAGUGAUGACGGCCUUCGGGUUGUAAAGCUCUGUUAAUCGGGACGAAAGGCCUUCUUGCGAAUA
rnacentral:rRNA from 1 species